rnacentral:rRNA from 1 species
UCCUACGGGCGGCAGCAGUAGGGAAUAUUGGACAAUGGGUGAGAGCCUGAUCCAGCCAUGCCGCGUGCAGGAAGAAGGCGUUAUGCGUUGUAAACUGCUUUUGCCAGGGGAUAAAAAAGCUCUGCGGAGCAAAUUGAAGGUACCUGGUGAAUAAGCCACGGCUAACUACGUGCCAGCAGCCGCGGUAAUACGUAGGUGGCAAGCGUUGUCCGGAUUUAUUGGGUUUAAAGGGUGCGUAGGCGGCCCACUAAGUCAGUGCUGAAAUAUCCCGGCUUAACCGGGAGGGUGGCAUUGAUACUGGUGGGCUUGAGUACAGAUGAAGUAGGCGGAAUUGACGGUGUAGCGGUGAAAUGCAUAGAUAUCGUCAAGAACACCGAUAGCGAAGGCAGCUUACUAAGCUGUAACUGACGCUGAGGCACGAAAGUGUGGGGAUCAAACAGGAUUAGAUCCCCAGUAGUC